rnacentral:rRNA from 1 species
UACAGAGGGGGCAAGCGUUAUUCGGAAUUAUUGGGCGUAAAGGGCGCGUAGGCGGCUUGGCAAGUGGAUGGUGAAAUCCCUCGGCUUAACCGAGGAACUGCCAUCCAGACUGCUUUGCUUGAGGCCGGGAGAGGUGAGUGGAAUUCCCGGUGUAGAGGUGAAAUUCGUAGAUAUCGGGGAGGAACACCAGUGGCGAAGGCGGCGACCUGGACGGACACUGA